AUUGAACGCUGGCGGCAUGCUUUACACAUGCAAGUCGAACGGUAACAGCACUUCGGUGGCUGACGAGUGGCGCACGGGUGCGUAAUACAUCGGAACGUGCCUAGUAGUGGGGGAUAACUACUCGAAAGAGUAGCUAAUACCGCAUGAGAUCUAAGGAUGAAAGCAGGGGACCUUCGGGCCUCGCGCUACUAGAGCGGCUGAUGGCAGAUUAGGUAGUUGGUGGGAUAAAAGCUUACCAAGCCGACGAUCUGUAGCUGGUCUGAGAGGACGACCAGCCACACUGGGACUGAGACACGGCCCAGACUCCUACGGGAGGCAGCAGUGGGGAAUUUUGGACAAUGGGCACAAGCCUGAUCCAGCAAUGCCGCGUGCAGGAUGAAGGCCUUCGGGUUGUAAACUGCUUUUGUACGGAACGAAAAGCCCUCUUCUAAUACAGGAGGGUCAUGACGGUACCGUAAGAAUAAGCACCGGCUAACUACGUG
rnacentral:rRNA from 1 species